AUUUCAGUAGCUACCCAAAUUGACUUGGCAAGACUGCUUUUUCGUUUGCUGCUCCACAUUCCUGGAAUGCUGCACAAAGCAUUAAAAUCGGUCUGUCCC